AUUUGACGUUAGCGACAGAAGAAGCACCGGCUAACUCCGUGCCAGCAGCCGCGGUAAUACGGAGGGUGCGAGCGUUAAUCGGAAUUACUGGGCGUAAAGCGCAUGCAGGUGGUUUGUUAAGUCAGAUGUGAAAGCCCGGGGCUCAACCUCGGAAUAGCAUUUGAAACUGGCAGACUAGAGUACUGUAGAGGGGGGUAGAAUUUCAGGUGUAGCGGUGAAAUGCGUAGAGAUCUGAAGGAAUACCGGUGGCGAAGGCGGCCCCCUGGACAGAUACUGACACUCAGAUGCGAAAGCGUGGGGAGCAAACAGGAUUAGAUACCCUGGUAGUCCACGCCGUAAACGAUGUCUACUUGGAGGUUGUGGCCUUGAGCCGUGGCUUUCGGAGCUAACGCGUUAAGUAGACCGCCUGGGGAGUACGGUCGCAAGAUUAAAACUCAAAUGAAUUGACGGGGGCCCGCACAAGCGGUGGAGCAUGUGGUUUAAUUCGAUGCAACGCGAAGAACCUUACCUACUCUUGACAUCCAGAGAACUUUCCAGAGAUGGAUUGGUGCCUUCGGGAACUCUGAGACAGGUGCUGCAUGGCUGUCGUCAGCUCGUGUUGUGAAAUGUUGGGUUAAGUCCCGCAACGAGCGCAACCCUUAUCCUUGUUUGCCAGCACUUCGGGUGGGAACUCCAGGGAGACUGCCGGUGAUAAACCGGAGGAAGGUGGGGACGACGUCAAGUCAUCAUGGCCCUUACGAGUAGGGCUACACACGUGCUACAAUGGCGCAUACAGAGGGCGGCCAACUUGCGAGAGUGAGCGAAUCCCAAAAAGUGCGUCGUAGUCCGGAUCGGAGUCUGCAACUCGACUCCGUGAAGUCGGAAUCGCUAGUAA
rnacentral:rRNA from 1 species